UACGUAGGGCGCAAGCGUUGUCCGGAAUUAUUGGGCGUAAAGAGCGUGUAGGCGGCCAGGUAGGUCCGUUGUGAAAACUCGAGGCUUAACCUCGAGACGUCGAUGGAAACCAUCUGGCUAGAGUCCGGAAGAGGAGAGUGGAAUUCCUGGUGUAGCGGUGAAAUGCGCAGAUAUCAGGAAGAACACCCGUGGCGAAGGCGGCUCUCUGGGACGUGACUGACGCUGAGACGCGAAAGCGUGGGGAGCAAACAGG
rnacentral:rRNA from 1 species